AGUAGAGAGAGAGCACACACGCGGCGCAGUUUCCUCACCCUUCUCCCUUUCUCUGCCCAGCGCCGCCACCCCUCUCCUCGCUGUGCCGCAGGCUGAACUCAUCGGGCUUGGCACCGAUGGCGACGGCCGACGCCGCCUUCCCUCACCACAGCGGACACAGACGGACGUGUCUCCCCUGGUUUCUCACCGAACGACAGGAGCAGAGCCCCACUGUCGCAAGAAUGGACAAGGAAAAGGGGAAAGAGAGGAGGAGAAGGAGAAGGAGAGGAGCUUGAUGUCCAUUAUGAAGACUAAGCUGCUUGUCCCGGGAAGCAGAAGGGGAAGGGCAAGGGCAAGGGUUGUGUCACUGCAGAGGAAGCGGGCCAAGGAUUACGGCAAUGUCCUGCUCGCCGAGUUGUUAUUAAGGGUAAAAAAAGCUCCGCCGCCUUGACGUCUCGCUGACCUUGCCGACGCCAAGAGCCGCACCAACCCUACUGUCCGCCGCUGGAUGGUGGAUCUCAAGACCGCCGCCUACCAAGGCGACCACGUCCACGAAAACUUCCGCUACGAGGCGCUGCGGCGCUGUGCUGACGACCACAUCCGCGGCCCCUUCUCCGUAAUGGAGCAUGAUAAGCAAGUGGAGAAGGAUUAUGAAGAGGAGGAAGAGAAUGAGGAGGACGAGGAUGAGCAAGGUACUGUGUUUGAGGAGGAAGAUUCUCAUUUUGAUGUCAAAGCACCAAGUGUUAUGCUAUGCAAAAUUGCAUUGUUUGGCUAUCAACGUUCAAUAUUUUUGUUGUAUAAAGUUCAAAGGAGGAGAUGCCCAAUUCUUUUCAUCACUAUGACCAUAUUUAAACCAUAGACUGCUAGAUGUUGCGUUUUUUACAAUAUAAAGUGCUUCUUUUCCAAAUUAUGGCUUUAAUUGCUGUAGAAGAUCAAAACUGGUCUUUAAAAACAGGUUCUGUUACAUCCCAGCUGUUAUGGCGCCAGCUGGCUCACGAGCCGGCUCGGUCUGAGCCGAGCCAUAACAAAAACGAGCUGAGCCGCCUAAA